CCUACGGGUGGCAGCAGUGGGGAAUAUUGCACAAUGGGGGAAACCCUGAUGCAGCGACGCCGCGUGAGUGAAGACGUAAUUCGUUAUUUAAAGCUCUAUCAGCAGGGAAGAACAUGACGGUACCUGAGUAAGAAGCCCCGGCUAACUACGUGCCAGCAGCCGCGGUAAUACGUAAGGGGCACGCGUUAUCCGGAUUUACUGGGUGGAAAGGGCGCGUAGACGGCAGUGCAAGUCUGGUGUGAAAGGCGGGGGCUCAACCCCCGGACUGCUCUGGAAACUGUACGGCUUGAGUGCAGGAGCGGUAAGUGGAAUUCCUAGUGUAGCGGUGAAAUGCGUAGAUAUUAGGAGGAACACCAGUGGCGAAGGCGGCGUACUGGACUGUAACUGACGUUGAGGCUCGAAAGCGUGGGGAGCAAACAGGAUUAGAUACCCCAGUAGUC
rnacentral:rRNA from 1 species